CUUGAGUGUCCUACACACGUUAUUGCACUGAUUGCCGGAGCCAAGGUAGUUAAAAUCUAACUGUUUAAGUGAAAGACUAGAGGAGGGAGAUAGAGAACCUACAGCCCU